rnacentral:rRNA from 1 species
GACGAACGCUGGCGGUGUGCUUAACACAUGCAAGUCGAACGGAAAGGCCCUGCUUUUGUGGGGUGCUCGAGUGGCGAACGGGUGAGUAACACGUGAGUAGCCUGCCCUUGACUUUGGGAUAACUUCAGGAAACUGGGGCUAAUACCGGAUAGGAGCUCCUGCCGCAUGGUGGGGGUUGGAAAGUUUCGGCGGUUGGGGCUGGACUCGCGGCUUAUCAGCUUGUUGGUGGGGUAGUGGAUUACCAAGGUUUUGACGGGUAGCCGGCCUGAGAGGGUGACCGGCCACAUGGAGAAGGUGAUACGGCCCGGACUCCUAGAGGAGGCAACAGAGGAGAAUGAUACAGAAUGAGCGGAUGCCUGAUGCAGAAGCGCCGCGUGGGGGAUGACGGCCUGCGGGUUGUGAACCGCUUUCGCCUGUGACGGAGCGUGAGUGACGGUAAUGAGUAAAGAAGCACCGGCUAACUACGUG